rnacentral:tRNA from 1 species
GGGGCUGUAGCUCAGUUGGUAGAGCAUUAGGCUGGCAGUCUGAGGGCCAGGGGUUCGAGUCCCCUCAGCUCCA